UUGCAGUGUUACACAACAGCCUGACUGGAGAAAAGGAGUGUAGUCUGUGGUGAGACACAUACAUCCAGUUCGCAUCCAGAAACGGCCCUUCGUUCAUCAGUCUGUUCAGUCUGAUCAGUCUGGAUACACUUCCUAGCGUCGGCAAUAGUACCAAGCGUGGACUUGGUUUAAUGUGGAAAGGUGAAGUGAAAACCCCCAAAGUAGUGUGUGCGCGUGUACCGAUUUGGUAGUGAAAAUUUUAUACCAUUUCCGUUCUCUCGUUCGUUCGUUAGUGUGUUCGAAUUGUUUGAGAUUUCUUUUUUUUAAAAACGAAAAAAAGUGUUCGUGUGUAAACCCGGUAAGUUUUAGUGGUCGGUUUAUCGGGUCGGAAGGAAACCUACCGUCGGUAUGUGAAAUUGGUUGCUAGUUUUUCAUGUUUUCUUCCACCACUGCCAGCACCAACUGCGAGUGCGUCCGGUGCGCAAAACAAACGGAAGCAUCCCCCAAAAAACGUGCGUACGGGCGAUGUAUGUGAUGUAUGGAGCAAAGUGAUUUAUUCAUUGCCCGGAAGGUGAAUGUGUCCUCGGUGAAAGGUGUGUGUGUGUGGUUUUUUUUCGAGUUUAUUCUUUUUAUGCUUUUACGUUCUCGUUUUGUGUUUUAUUUUUUUGCAUUGCUGGAAAAAUACACACAUCGAUCGUGAGUCGUUUCCUUUUUACAUUGCUAACAGCAGAGGAUGAAGUGAAUGCAAUCGAAGAUUGAGACGUGUGCCACGUGUCAAUGUUUUCUGGUGUGGUUGUGUGGGUGCUUUUUAUUGUCUGUGUUUAUUGGUUCGAUCCUGCGAUGUGUAAAGGUAUAAUGCCAGUGCGUGCAAAGGAAUAAGGUGAAAAGUUAUUGAAUUGUGUAUCAAUCACGUUUGGUUGCAGUGGAAAGUGAAGUUAUUGCCCCACGCUGUUAGAGCAAAACUAAAGUUGUCUAUUACGGUGUGCUUUGUUGCAUGUGGAUGUGUGAAACCGUCAGUCAAAGCAUUCCAGUCUGAUUGGUUAUUGCUUGUUGGAACUUGGAUUUUGUUUUUUAUCAGAACUAAACGAAGCUGUUCUACUGCAACUACUGUUCUACUGCGCAAGGAGAUUAGCUGUUGAAAGAUCUUCAUCACGUGCCAUGUGUAUGGCGUACUGCUGCAGAGGGACACAGGCUUAAAAGGUAAGCGCGCUAUCCCGGCUAACGGAAGGAAAUGGAGGUCAGUAUCCUAAACAAAUACCACCAUUGACCAUUACUGACCUGAUCCUGAUCGAGCCCAAAUCUGCUGCACUAUGUCACUGUCAAAAAAUCCUUUAAGCAAAGGAAGAAAAAAAAAACAGAAAACACCCACACCCACAAAAGCACGCCACUGAAACAAUCGCUGUGCUGCAUCGUGUGUUUGACACGACCAAAGCACGAGUUUCGCCUCCCUGUGUUUGCUGAACACACUUCCUCCGCCAAAAAAGGGACUCUGGUUGUACACGGUCUUCGGGCACAAAACGUUGCAUGUUAAAUGUCUAUAUUUUUUGUUUUGAUUGCGAUGCCGAUAAACGGGCCACAAGAUAGGGUAAGGCAUACGGGGCGAUCCUGGUACAACCGAUGCCUAUAAAUCGGCAGCUAAUUAUACAGCCACGAAGUGAUUGAUGGAGACUAUACUGUGCCUAUUUGCUGGAUGCGGUAGGCAAAUCGAAGGUUUUUGGUGGAAGUUUACAGCGCGCCAUGAGCAUGAUGGGAACAGGUCGUAUAUUUGAAUUUUCUGUUGACACGUUCAAUAUUGGCUUAAUUUUUGGGGGAGGUUGUGAUUUUUUUCCCCGAGGUUUAUUUUAAUGUUUUUUUAUUGUUUGUUUUUGAUUUUGCAUUCAAGCAAGCAGUUAAAAUAUCGCAGAGAUUUUGUGUGUGCUUAAUUUGAAGCCAAUUUGCAGAGUUUUAAACAUUAGUAAAUGCCCUAUUUACUCUUUGUAGAUAUUAAAUUGACUUGUCUGCUACAGGAAUAUUUCUACUUUAUUAUACUUUAAGUGAAAAAUUGAUUAAAAAGCUAAUAAAAUUUUGUUUGCAAUGUUGUGAAAAUAUUAGUUUUUUAAUGAGAAAAGCAUAUAAAUUUAAGAACAAAAAAACAAACUUUUAUAAAAAUUGUUUGAAAUGUUCCAUGCUUUUACUCAGAUUAAAUAGAAAUUCUAAAUGCGAAUUUAUCAAACUUGGAUGCGAUAAAACUUCCAUUUAAACAUUAUUCUUUUUGUGGUCAUGCAAAUAGGAUUUCUCUUCGAGCUGGAAUUUCCUUAUUUGUCGUUCAAGUUAUUCAAAAUAUUUCGCAAGUUAUUUAUGCAACCUGGAUUUUUGAGAAAAAGGAUCAAAAUAGUUCAAAUCUGUUUAUUAUACCUCUCUACUUUAAGAAUUUCACUGAUCUGUCAAUAGUGUGAGAGUGCCUUUUUAGUCACAUCCUGGAAAUGGCAAAUACAUAUAAAACGGGUUAGAUUGUCUAUUAUAAUUUUCGUUACGUUAUCAAUCAUCCAUCAUUCAGUGGUAAAAAAAACUGCUUAAAACGAGUUCGAGUGAGUACUCAAAUAUUUUACUCCUCAUUUUGCUUUCCAAAUUUGAUAUAUAACUCUUUAAAAUGCAUUAAAUUAAUGUUUUGAUUUACAAAGUGUAUUUUCACAUCAUAAUUUAAUUUACCUAAACAAAGUAUCACCUUCCAAGGAAGUGUCUCAAGAAGCAAUCAUACGAUUCCGAAUAUUAAAGUGCGCAACUUCUAUAAAUUGCGUUGCGACAUUGCAUCGUCAGUGGUGCUCAAUCUGCAUGAAAGAAGCAUGCUCGUUACUAAUUUUAAAGUAACCUAACGAACGUUCGCAGUUUGUGCCUUGCCCUAAACGAUCGAUCUCUCUUGGCGUUAUUGUGUGCGGACCCAUUUGCAAUUGGUGAUUAGCAUUACGGCCUAAUGCUGUAUCAACGGCCUGCGAAAGGUAGUUGUGGAACGAGCUAAUAGAAAAAUCUUUUAUACCAUUUCCCGUUCGCCUACGUGUUGUGCUUGUUGUUCUUUUUUUCAUCACUUCAUCCAAAAGCCCAAUAUAACCAGCAAUGACGUCGUAGAGCAAGAACCAAACAAAAAUACAUCCCAAAAACAAGAAACAAAAAUCGAAACGGUAAUCAAGAAUGUAUGUUGCGCAUUAAAGGCGAACGGAAAAGAAAACUUACUUAUGAAACGUUUCACAAGCAACUAGCAGACUAGGGAAAGAGAAAGAGAAAGAAAGAAGGAGAUUCCUAUACGGUGAAACAAAAAAUGGACCCGCAUGCCAUGAGCUUUACAUACCAAGAGAGCCACAUCGGAGCGCCAAUGGUAAUCGUGGAGGCCCUACGAAGUAAAAAAGGGGUACACCAGUGCUGCGGGUAAAGGAGAAAAUAAUGGUAUCGAUUAUUUGAUUAGAAGGAAGAAAGCGCUUAGAAAAACGUGUUUUACUUCUGAUGCGGUUGUUUUUUUUCUUUUCCUUCGUGCGUGAGUAUGUGUGUGCGUGUUCUCUCUCAAAAAAAAAGGGAGACCGACGUGAAGGAUGAUGGAUAAAAAACAGGGCGCGUUAAAACAGUAGCUGUUGUGUAGCCUAAAUGCCACUGUGACUUCUAAGAAAAAUGAUUACCUCCGCAGCGUAAAGGCUUUCUCUUGCCACCCAAAACCCUGCACAAAGCGGGGUGAGUUGUCAAGGUUGACUGGGAAUUAUGUCAACACUAAUGUCGUUAUGUUCCGGGAUAUGGUGGAUGGCUAAUGCGAAAGGAUUAUGGUGCGUCGCCGUGCAAGGCAUUGGUAAAGAAAAAUCCUGGAACGACCAACAACCGGAUACACGCAACGUGUAGAAAAUUGUUCUAAAAGGAAAGCAACAUACACCACCUUGAAGGACAUCACGGGCAUGAGUCGUGCAAUCAAGGUUCCGUAGCUCAUGUGGGUUGAAAUGUUCGCGCUGGAUUGGAGGGUCAGGAUAGCUAAUAGGUGGACAAUGAAGGAAUUAUGUCUAAUUGACGAUGCAUCAGUGAUUUCGAAAGCAGUUCAAAAGUUAUUAUGUCUGGCAGGAAGCAUUUUUGUUUUUGGAAAUUCAAUUUAAUUGAGGCUAUGCAGACGAACAAUCAAAAAUAUCCCUUUUCCCUAAAUGUGAACCAAACUUUUAGGGCAACUUGUUAUGAAUUUUACAGAAAUUCAAACAUUGCAUACCUUUGCAAUGUUUUAAUUUUUAGCAUACAAUUUAAUUAAAAAAAAAAAGGUAAAAAAGUAUAUAUUUAACAUUCAAAGUCACCUGCUCAUUGGAUUAUACCCUCACCCCUGUUAUGCCCCUAUAAGAAUUAAAAUCUUCCCAAGAUUUCAAGUUCUCGUACAGCGACCGUAUUAUAUCAGACACUGGUCAUAUCAAGGACACGUACCAAAACCAAAACCAAGAAAAAAAAGAAACCUUCAGUGUUUUAUUUUUAUUUCUAUGUUCUGUGGUCAAGUUUUCGCAUUUCCAUUCCCUUGAACGCCCUUCAUUAAAUUUACAUAGCAAAUUAUCCAAUCACCGCUGGAAAAGUCGUAACCUUCUGUGGAGGGCAAAAAGUGGUUAGGUGUUUUUGGGAGGGCAGCUUUUUUUUAAUCGUUUCGAGUUUUACUUCGUAACUUAGGCUGUACCGUUUUUUUAUUAUUUUCUAGCUCGUCUCAGUUUCUUCCCAGAUUAGGUAUACUUUUUAAUCUCAUGACUGUUUUUUUUUGCUUGGUUUUAUUUUUAGUGCUUCUCACCAUUUGUUCUUGUUAUCAUUCGUGUCGCACACAGCCGCCAGUAUAUGAAGCUGGCACGGGUAAUGAACUUCAUUUAUGUUGGAACCUAUUCUUGUUACCAGCCAUACUCUACUUUAAGAUAGCACUUUAAAAUUGUUCCCAUCCUAAGCCAUCUUCUGAAGCUUGAGUUGUUUGAGUUUAAUUUACAAGGGCGUAUAUUCGUAUUUUACCUUGUUUUUGUAACCAUCCUCACUUGGGAUGUACCUUUACACUGUAAAUGAACACACCUGGUUCGCUAGAGAGCACAAAUUAACCUCAUCAAAACGGGGUGAGAUGAAUUUCACGGAUGAGGUAAAUAUUAAAACAUUCUUGCAGCUCGUUUGUGGAGACAGCCGUGAUUAUAAGUGCCAGGUCGGUAGCAAGUUUGCUGCAUUCUCUAAUAACAACAACUGCAAAAAAAGAGGAAUGAACAAGUGAUGAAGAAACUACUCGAAAAGUUAUCCUUCAGCUGGUACAGAUAGUUCGUUUUGCUGCACGGCAUUUGAUGAGACUCUCUUGUGAUUGUACAGCCGCACCGUGGUUCAAAAGUAUCACCAUCAGCAGUCGAGUGUACGGUGUACAACAUUGUGUGUAUGUUGGCAGUGAAGUUAACUAGUGUGAAAUGUUGCCCCUCCGGAACCACCGCAUUCCCAGCGCAUUCCCACACAUCCCCACACAUCCCUGGUCCGUCGAGAAUAAGGGGUAUGGAAAAAAGUAUAUAAAGAAGGCCCAUAAUUUCGGUGGUGAAAAACUGUUUUGUUCAUCCUGUCAAGCUAACGAGGGGACUCUGUGUGUGUGUGUGUGUGUGUGUGUCUUUGUCGUGUGGCCAACCGACAAGCGAACAGUUAUGCAAUGUACGGAACGUACGAAGUGAUCCAAAGUGCACGUUAAUAAUUUAGGCUCGGUUGAUGAUUGGCGGCGAUGUGGCUCGGUAGAAGGAUAUGCCAUAAUUACUAGGAUACUCGCUUCAGAGCUUUGCAGAGAACCCCUCGUUCGUACAGCACGAGUACAAAGAGGUAUGCUUUUGGGAUAUCAUAGAAUUAACCAAAAAAAAAAAAUAGCAUUAAACAAGAAACGGGGUAAAAAUGAUUAUCAAAACCAUAGCGAAGGAUAACUAUUUGUGACAAAAACCCCAGUGUAGAGUAGGGCUCAUGCUUAUGCCCGCGUGUCAGUGCAGUUGAGCAUGAUGUGAUCUGUGGUGAAUAUGUGUUUGAAAGUCUUCUCAUUCUCAUAAUAGGAUUAUCCUUGCUGUGUGUAUGAGUUGGGUGUGACCUGCCCACAAGUUGACAUGCAGUGGUAGCGCCAUAUUUUGUUGUUGUUGUUGUAUGCAACUGUAUCCCACAAACCUGUGAUUAAAAAAGUUUUUUUUAUUUCCUGUUAACAGCAUGGAAAAGAAUUUGCAUCACUUUGUUUUGGGUGUGGUUGAAAGUGUUGGGAAAUGUGAGGAAAAAAAUCGUACACUCCUUAGAAUCGCUUGCUUUUUGGUACAGAGUAAAGAAGGUAUCAACAAAAAAAAAACAAUAAAGAUGAUAAUCAUAAUGAAAAGGCGUAAUGUAAUAUCUACUCAAGUAAAGCACGUACAUUCUGACAUACAAACACAAUACUGGUUCUACUGGUCUUGAUAUAUGGCAAAUUAGUGUGCUCCGUCACGUACGAAGAAGCAACCUAUAUGGUUCCCGUUCCGUUUACACUAGCUGGAACCGGGUGGCUGGCUGUUUGUACAUCCACAACCAUUCACUGGACAUGCAUUACAGAAUAAACAUUCGUACAGUGCGUCCGGUUCGGGCGUCUCUUUCAGUGAAAACAUCCUGCACGGCGAGCGUUAAUUGAAUAUUGUUCCGGCAAGCAUCCGUCUUAAUCUGAUCCUUCCGGACGCUUUCACAGAUGGCACGGGAUGCGAUCGAUGUGCGCAGGGUGUUUUUCUAGUUCCAUGGUUCUUUUCAGCACAUUUAUGCUGUUUUUUAGGGGGGUUAAUUCCUUAACUUUCCUUUGGGGCGCAAUGUUUAGUUAAAUUUGAUGCUUAACAAUGAACUCGCCAUAAAGCGAAAUUUGUUGUUAUUUACCGUGAAUGAAGGUUGAAAAUUAAUUCCCCCUUUUUAUAUGCCGCUUGGGAAUAAAGAAUCCAAAACAAAUCUGAAUUCAAACGGUGGUACUGGAGAAAGUGAAAAAAAAACUUCAACAAACAAAUCGCAAAUAUCCAUUCUAUGCGUUUGAAUGAUGCCCAAGUGUUGUGUGUCCAGCAUCCACGAUCGGUCAAAGCGAUCGCAUUAUUUUACGAGAGUUUUCAACAAAAGUUUGAUUGCAGUAGCCUAGCGUCAGUGAUGCCAAUAAACAGCAAAACUGGUGCACAGGACUCGCUGAAACAAAAAAGCUGCGAAUUUGAUUAAUGUUUUUUUAUUACUUUGCGUUCAAACUGAUACCCAGGCGGUACGCAGCGGUGAGAUCGCAAAGGCCCCCUUCCUUAUGUUUAAUGCUUUUGUGCUAUGAGUAAAUUCCAUCUCGCUACCAUCGCUCGGUACUGUGUAGUAGCUGUGGUACAUCAGAAUUCAAUCAGUGCCAAUCUUUAUUGCCAGCACUUUUUGGACGCGCUCUUUGCAAAUGGCCAAAAUAACUGUCUGUAGGGAUCCAACAACUGAGUGUGUGUAUGGUGUAGAAGACAGGGGAAGAGUCCAGAUUGUGGCUGGAUCUAUCAUUUACAGCCUCACAAAUGUGGGCCUCCCAACAUAUCCCAUCUCUCCCAAAUCAUCACCCAACGUUGAGACACAAAGAAACAGAACCAGAAGGUCCUUUCGGACAGUAGAAACCUUUUAAACGCAACAAGCACACACCGUAUGUUGCAAGCCUACAAAAUAACACAAGCAAAAGAAAUGUUUUUUUUAAACUCAGAAAAAAAGGUAUAAUAUUUUUCAUUAUAUUAUUCCCAAAAAAAUGGAAAACGUCAGCACCACGACUUCGGGAACUGCUGGCACUGUCAGCGUGUAGUGUGCGGUUCGACGCUGCUUGUGGACGAAGUUCCGUUUCGCCUUUUUGCAGCGGUGUGUUACGGAUCGUAAGGAUAAUAAAAUAUCCGUUUUUAUGGAUAUUUAAUAGACAUGAAACAUUCGCUACAGUAGACCACCAUUGCCACAGUUUUUUUUUUUGCACAGUCGAGUAUUAUCAUUAAAGGUUAUCUGGUUGUGAUGGGCAAAGGAAGGAAAGAAACCCAAAAAAACACACACACCAAUAGACCUGUUUUGUUGGUUUCGUUUUGAGUAAAGUUAUGAGGUUUUGCAUUUUUCUGUUGAUGAGUGAGUUAUGCAAUUGAGCCAAAUGAAUGUUGGUCUGGUUUCUUCAUUAAGGGAUGUAUGUAACUUUUUUCGCUUUUUCAGCUGAUAUUUUCACUUCAAUAAUAAUGAAAAUUAUUAUAUUUAAGAAAUAAAUUAUUACCUUUUUCAUGUUAUUUUUAGAAUAUUUUGGAUUUAUUUUUGUAUAAAUGAAUGUUAAAAAAUAAUGCUAAAUCAUAACUCUUCGCUGAGCUUUUAAAAAACUCCCUUAUAAUCUAGAGCACUUUCUAAUACAAUUACGUUAAAACGAGUUGAAAAUCGUACUUCGUUUCAUCUAUUCAAGUAAAGCUUAAAUCUCUCGUGUACUUCCCAUAUCCCUCUCUAACUAGUUGGGCCCGGGAGUACAUUCAUGGCUGCUUGCAUCAUUUCCCAACCAAACGCUAACACUCACUAAUGAGAUGUGUAACGUUAGCAUCUCCUUUUUUUCGUUAAACGCAAAUACACAGAAAGGCGAACGAAUGCAGCAUCAUCGUGUUAAAAAUCGACCAUUUCUACGGCCGGGAUAGGGGAUACAACCCUGGCGAAAGGUGUUUUUGGACCAUUUCAACUCAGUCACAGCUAACCGGGAGAACGUGCUUUAUCUCCACUAAUUUACUGUUCAUUUCGAAAUUAUAUUCCUAUUUGCACUUCCGGUAUAUAUGGGUGUGUGCGCGCGUAAGUGUACUUUCAUGCUGGAAUAGCAGAGUGUGUUGUUCGUCCGCAUUAUGUUUCUUUCUCUCGUUUUUUUUUCGCCCGUGUUUGGCACUUUGCUAUAAAACGCGUGGCGGAUGUGUGGAUAUAAGGCUGCUGCUGCAGGUGAAAUCCGUGCCGCUGGAAUUUAUGACAAUAAGUACACAUGCAAGUGAGUAAAAAUGUGAAUUAACUGGAUUUCGUGCGUUUCGAGCCUCAACAUUCCACUUCGCACACACUUCGCUCGUAGUGCCCCAACUCCAAGCAUUCGAAGCACAAUUCGUAUUAUCAAACGACGGGCGUACACGAGCUGGAAGAGAAAUAAAGCAGAACAAAAUUUAAUUAUUUCGGUAGAAUCAAAAUGGAAAACAAAGCAAAAAAAAAACUUUUCCACAAUUAUUACCCGAAAUUAAAUAAAAAUGCAAAUCUCAUUGAUUUUUUUUGUUGUUGGUUCGUUUCUGGCAUUUUUAUGAUGUUUUCCCGCACCCUGUGUGCCAUUGUUCUUACAGCCUUCUACAGACAACCACCCAGUGCUGGUUUCUGGUGUUGGCACUAUCGAUCUUGGUUCUUGGUUAUGCUUUGCAAAAGAAAAUUUGCGUACCACGGAGACGAUAUUUUCAUGGUGUUUCGUUGCCGGGCGGUUUUUUGUUGUUAUUAAUGGGCAAAUGGUACCGGUUCGUACGGUUUUGUGAUUAGCAUGAAUCACAAAAAUGUGUAUUUUCAUACACACACACACCCCCAUCGAGUUGGACGUUGUGUGCGGUGUUUGUGCUCUGCUGAGCGAGCGUUUUCGUGCCUUGUAAAACCCUGAGGCUGUGUGUGGUUGGGUACACGUUGAAGAUGUGUAAAAACUUCCUGUGCCACGCGGAACUCGCGAAACCGGUGCUCCCGGUUAAGGUAGGCCGCCCUAUUUGCUGUGACCUUUGCAAGCCCUUGAGGGCGUUUUUUUUGGCCCGCUUUUGCCAGUUACGUGACCCUUCCGCACACAGCCAAGGGAAAUAAUUACUCGUAAAGAAAAUGGCUUAUUGUUUUACGAAUCCUUUUGCCCACCUGCCUCAAGGGGUGAGGUGGAGGGAGAGGAGAAAGAUUGUUGAUUUUCUUACAAAAUGUUUACGGAAGGUCAAGGGUGGGAGUGGUUGAGAGGAACAGAAACCCGGGGUGGGACUGUACUGAAUCGUGCAUUCGGGAGUUUUUCCGGGCUGCGGAGAUUUUUCUUUGAAAUAGUCCUCGGGAAUAAAAAUUCAUGGCAAACGGUAUACUGGGGUGCUGGUGCUUGAUGUUAUAUGUUUCCUUUUCACUGCACAUAAGUUAUGAUAUGGCGAUGGGAUGGAGAGUGACAUGGUAAUUGAAUGCAUAAUUACAAGCAGUAUAAUUCCUAAUUGGUGCGGUGUGAAACAGUGGUACAUUUUUAAGAGCGUUUAAAUGUUUGGUUCGCAAGCUUUGUGCUUUGCGCAUAAUUUCAAAACAGAAGAAGAAAGUUUGAGAAAUGUUUAGAGUUAUAUUUUUAAAAAAAUAAUAUCAAUAGUUACUAAAAUAUAUAAGACUUUAAAAUGUAUUAGGAAUCAUCCAACAAUUUUUAUGGUCAUGAUAGCGUCCUUAGUAACUCUAUAUAGGUCAUAUUUGUGUGAUAACUUGUACUGGUAUUUACAUAAAUGAAUAAAUAGGCAAAUAAAUUAAUAAAUAAAUAAAUGAGGAUAUUGUUUUAAAUUUUUAUAUCUAUUAAAAUAUUCAAACAUUGAAUAUUAGUUGUAUUCUUCCGAAAAAAAAAUCAUAUUCACAAUAAACCAUACCCAAGGGUAUGGUUUCCAUGCUUACGGAACAUUCUGAAUUUAAACGAUUGUUAAUAAUAUUGUUUUGCAAUAUUUAAACCUCAUUUUCAAAUGGGUAGUUUAUUGUGGGAAUUUUUCCACAAAAUUGGACACAAAAUUGGAUAAAUUAAUAAUAGAUUUUGUGAAAUUUUGAAAUUUGUAAUCAUUUUAAAUCGCCAUCAAUCGAUUAGUAAUAAAAUUUCUGCUAAGAGCGAAACAUAUUUCAUCCAUUUUGGUAACCCAGCUUCCACCAACACCUUCAACCAACACAUAAUUAAACGAAUUGGAAAAAAACUUUUCUGUAAAAUAAUAUUUUGCACCGAUACGAUUCCUCCUACACGCUGCUGGGAAUUAACAGUUCAAAGCUUUAACAUUUUCGUCCUUCUAGCAAAGCAACGCCUUGGUAGAGAUGGUAGAGUUAUGGUAGAGAAAAUAUGACUUUACAGUGAAGUGCACUACGGACAUAUGUGCGCGUUGGGACGCAACAUGACGAAAACACAUCAUAUUUCGAAAAUGGGGUUUUUUUGUUUUGUCUAGCAAACGUAUCUUUUUUUUCUUCUUUUAUUCGCUUAGUUUCAAUUUCGUCACUUGAUUGUCGUUUGGUGCUUGCAAAGCUUUAGUCUUCCUUUUUUGUGUGGAAAAGAAGUUGAAUGAGAUUCCCACUUCUCACACAGCAGCAGAAUGAUGGAUCGUGGCAAAAAAGGGACGACUAUUGGAAAGCCGAAAACUUUUAUCCUAGAUAGACCCCGUAGAUCGCACGUCUGGGGACUGUCUGUCAAGCAAAGUGGAAAGUUUUGUUCGAGUGGCGAAAAGUGAGAGCGAAAAAAAAGAGCAGAAGAAACUGAUACCAACUUGCACUGGUGCUAGAAACCAUGGUUUAGUCUCACUGACAAUGUCGGGUACGAAGAAAAAAAGGGACACGAAAAAGGACGUCUGUAAAGUGUGAAAAUGUAAAAAAAGCUUCAUUUUUUCACGCGCCUUCAGGACGAUUUUGGUGCGUCUUCUCAAACUCAUAAUACCCAAACACGUGGGGACCGUUCCAUUCACGCGCUCAAUUGGUCUUGUGUUUGCAAAAGAAAAACACAACCACCUAUCAAAACUUUGUCUCUGGCGCGUGCUAAAAAGCAGAACAGCAACGUUAUGUCCUAUGUGACAAAAUAGUAGCACCACCUAGCAGUAAGUGAGUAUCGAUAGUUGUGCGUGCUUUCGGUUUCGGAAAGCAUAAUUUACCACACUGUCAACUUCAGAUCAGCAGUUCUCUAGCGGAAAGUUUUUGUACGAGCACGAUCGUAAGCUAUUCCCCAUUUUGUUAAGUUUUUUUUUGUAUCGAGCAGGGAGAUAAAGUUUUGUGCUUAUUUCUGAAGGUGGGCAAAAUCUUACUUCUAUUGGCGAGUGUAUCGAUAUUGCUUGUCUUUUCAAAGCUUACGGUCCAUUUUUUGAGGUAUCAAAACGUGUUUUUCGAACGUUCUUAUUGUGUAAAAUCUGUCCGAGGGUAUGAAGAUUUACGGUGUGAACUAGCACAUCCUGCAUCCGUAGAUGCUUGAUAUACGUUCUUUUUCUGCAAGAUUUUGUAUUUGCACCAGAGGGUGAAACAUCCAUGCAUUGUGUGGCUUAACAAGGGGGUGUGUUAAUCUUUGUUGCGUGCCUUUUAAAAUUUCAACGUACCGACAAUUGGGAAGCCUAUAGUGUACAUCAAAACCUUAAUGUUCGUACAAUGGUUCGUGAUGUGGCUGCAAUUUUUAUACGUUGGGAUGAUGUACCAAAACAAAGCAUCCGUGCUAGAAGAUUGCGUGCAGUUGUCCAGUGUGGUGAGUUUGAGUAGUACUUUUUUAUGUUAUUAUUUUUCAUCCAUACUGUCGAUCAUAUGAUGAAUGGUGAGGCAGGAUCAAACAAAACAAGUGUAAUAAAAUAUUUUACACCUUUUAUAAAUGUUUUGCACAUGUUAUGUUUCACGUUCUGAGAGAUGUUUUUUUAUGAUUUACUACACUACACUCUUUCUAAUCCAGCGGUAAUAAUUGUCAAUACAAAUCGUUCAUGGUUUUUUUGUCCGAAAAAGAAAAUAACCCAUUUUCAGAGCAAAUACAAUAGAUUCUAUAAAUAAAAAAAGUGUUUGCGUAAUGUGUGUUUAACGUUGAUGAGCAGCGUUACACUUUCCCCAAAAAAGGAUGUAUUAUAUUGUGUGAACAUAAAAAGCAUUGUGUGUGAUGGAUUCAUGCUUCAUGGUUCCAACAAACAACCAAUAAAUUCAUAGGAAAAAAGAAGUGUAUAUAUAACACACCAUCGUUACACAUACAUUUAUUGAACUUCAUCACCAUCAUCAUCAUCGUCUUGUGAUCGAUGCUGGAUGUGUUUUUUUCUCUUCAUUUUUUCUCUAUUACACUGUCACCUACAAACCGUCCAAUGAAAGGAAGAAAAUGGUACGUAAAACGUUUAUGUAAAACAAAAACAAAAAAUAGAGCUGCGAGGCAAAACUUUUUUUUAUAGGACUAUGUUCGGUUUUAUGUCGCAUGUCGCCGCCCAAUAGCAUAAAGCACUCCCGGAUCAUAAUGGACAAUACCCGCUAGUCAGUUGGAAGGUUUUACUUUUUAUUUGUGCUUCACAGUAUACUCCGUGCUCUCCGUGUUGACAGAAUGAAACACUGUGGAAUAGCGCUGCGAUGGUUUUACUAUAUCGAUGGUGAUAUCAUUUUAUUUCAUCGAAUCGUCCGGCUGACGAGUUUGAUGCGAGUUUGGAAAACUUAUGCCAGCUUUCGAACGGUGAUGGUUUUAUGGCAUAAAAAAGCGUCUAUCGCAUUGCGAACCGGUUUAUCGUUUGAUUGAUUUCUGGGCGGAUAUGAAAGCAUCGCGAAAUUGCGUUUUAUUCGUAUGAGGCGAGUUUUGCAAAAGGGGGAAGGAUAUUUUUACAACCCUACAAUUAUUUGAUGCCGAUUUGUACUAUGGAUGGAUGCGUGAAUGGUAUGAAAGUUGUGAAGUGGAAAGGUUGAAGUUCAAGGUUAAUUUUUAAGUAUUAUUCAUGCAUUCAAAUUAUUAAAUAAUAUUUUCACAUUAAGUACUUUUGAAAAUUUUGUAGUUACUACAUUCUACCCAUUUCUGAGAAUCCUAUGGCCGCCAGUUGCCUAAGAUAAUUAGAGAUAAUUGUGUAUGUUGUUCUCAAAACUGCGGACUACCCCAAGGAAUCUCCAGGAAGCAAGAUUCCAUUAAUCGUACCGUGGAAUUACUUCGCAGAGAGAAAAUCAGCAGCAGAACUUCGGAGAAAAUUGUUUACAUUCAAUUCUGAGAAUUAGUAAUGUUUUCCGGAUAUGUUUACCUCGUGACUCUGGUAUUAUUAUACGUGUUAUUAGGUAUUUUUGAUUUUUUCUAAAAAAUCUUCUAUAAUCAUUAUCACAUCAAACUAACAUUCCAUUAAAAAUGCGUUUUGUGGACACUAGAAAUGACCUAUUUAAAAGCAUAUUUUUUCUCUAUCUCUUAGGCAUUGUUUACUAGUUUCAUUAUCGAUGCAUAGACAAACAUAAUUUACAUCCAAUAAAUACUAAAUGUUAGAGGUCCUAUCGAACCAAAAUCGUUCACCGAACUUAGUACAUAUCAUUGCAGCAGCAUUGGGUGUGUUUGUGUGGUUAACAGACGGAUCGUGACGGUAAGGUUAGGUAGGAGAAAAUGUUACAUUUCCGAUUCGGUAAACCGUCAGGAGUGUCAGUGAAGUUUCAAGGAUUUCCAUUACGCAGUGGUGCUGUUUAAAUAUUUAUGCCAUUAUAUCUCACGUCUCGUCGGCUUAUCAGGUCCUCGGAUUACAGGAAAAUGUUGGGAAAAUGGUAGUGCGCUACGACGCGUGAUGGGUCGCUUUUCCAACAACAACAGCAGCAAGUCACAAAAAAGCUGAUCACGUAAGCCACCAUCCGAACACAACACCACCGUUUCCGAGCCUUCAAAAGCAUAAUGUAUAUCGAUCUUUUAUCUAUUCACUUCACUUGGUCGUACUUGGCGUUUUGAUUUCUUGAGAAAUAUUCACCAUUGACAGUUGACCCAUUCCGUCAUAGUACGCGGCAACUCGAUCACAGUUCCAUUGUGUAGGGUUUGUGAGCAACACAAAACCAUCAAGCUCGGUACAAAUGCCUUCAAAAGCUUCACGCUUACAGCAAAAGUUGAACGGGGUUUAGCAUACGCUCACGUUUGACAUCGGACGGGCUGGUGCCCUUUUGUGUAGCCCUUCGUUAGCUUUGUAGCUUAAGCAAGUAAACACUUUUAGUUGUUCUUUUAUUUUGGGAUUCAAGAGAGACGUGGUGGGUUCCGUGCAUGGUGAACUUUUUAUAGAAAAUCUAUCAAAAUGUCACAUGUUCGCCCUUGAAUGAUUGUAUCACUGGGAGAAAGGGUGUAUUUUUUGACAAAUUUCCAUGUCGAAUGCCAAUCAAAGACACCCGAAACUCAGGGGUAGGUUGUCCCCAUUAGCAUCAAUUAGGCCAGUAGUUUCUACUUGUUAUACAUGAAUAAUGGUACGUUGCUUUUGUUAGGCGGUAGUUGGUUGUAUCCCAUGCAGGACAAUGCUUUAAACGCUAUAGAAUAUCCUUGAACUGGUUUUUAGUAUUGAGCAAUCUUAUACAAUAAGAAAUGCUGAAUAGAAGAAUGUUGUUACUUGCUAUUUUUUAAGGAUAAAAUGUUUCUGUCUGCUAAUGGAAAUUUUAAAGACUAUCUUUUCAACGACUUUGAAUAAUACUGUGUUAUAAUUUUUAGUAAAGGAAAAACAGGUAUCAUUUUUCCAGAAAUAAUUGAAGUAUUAUGUUAUCUUAAACCCAUGAAGAUUAAGUUAAUUUUAAAAUAGUAUUUUUAUGUUACUUAAUACUUAUUACUACGUUCAACAAAUUUGGAUGAUAUAUUGUAAUCCAUUCUAUUAACAUCAAUCAAUUUUCGUUGAAUGCUUAAUUAAUUUAAAUUUCCAAAGCUUUCACAAAAAUUUUCAUAUUAAUUUUCUGCGCGUAUCAAAUAUAAACCUUUCCCAUUCCCACUGGGCACUCUUCCGGAUCCUGGAAAAAAGCAUUUAGUUAGCAUACAGCGUCAGCCCUUGCUGUCGGAUUCAGCACGAUGUGCUGAUUAUGCUCAUGAGAGUACCGUACCGAUUCCAAUUUUGCUACAACCGCACGCGCGCUCAUCUUCUUUCACAUGGAAAAUUCAUUUUCGCUCAAUGAAAUGGCUGGCAGAAAAUCAAAUAUCUCGAAAUAGAAGAUACAAAUCGCACCGGGAUAAUCCAGUAUUAAUGAAUAUUUUCCAUACGCAUGCUUCACUUCCUGCUGCUUUGCUGGCUGCCACCGGAAGGCAAUCUAGUAAAAGUGGAAGCAGAGGAAGGAGCAAGGGUGGAAAAAAAGAACACAGCAAAGCAAAUCACGCAGCACAUCCAAUCCUUGAUGGAUAAGUCUUUCGAUUGCCCGACAGCAGGCUGUAUUUAAUAUUAGUUUUUGAAGAUAAGGUACGAACUCUCUUUUACAUUAUUGCACGAUUGAGUGUAUGUUAGAACCAAAAGCAUUACGGUCGAGAGUCCUGCGACCCAUAUGCUAAUAAACCACUCUUAAACCAUUCUGUAUGUGUUAUGGAGGGGCGAAAGAUGAAAAAAAAAACCACAUCCCAGUACACUUUUUAUCAGACUUACUGCCAUUAUUUUUUGGGGAUUUUUGUGUUUUCGGUAGUCAUGAAUUGCAAAUUUCGCAGUAAUGAUUCCAAAGCGAUUUUUAAAUAAAAUCCACCAUCUCACAUUAGCAGCGUCACCGUUCAAAGCUAACUUUUUUUUUGGUGAGUAAUCGAAAAAAAACCGAAACCUUCACACAAGGAUUUGCGAAGCUCCCGUGCCCCAAAAGUACAUCUCUUAGGGAAUAGAGGAUGUAGUACGAUCAAAAGACCCUUUCGCGGGAUGGUAAGGGAACUUUAUUCACACGCUGGGCCUUUGCUACGUGUGUGGGUACGUGUGUGUUUAUUUUAAUUCCCGCUCAAUAAUGAAUGUGUAAAUAAAUAUUUAAUACCGCUAGCUUGUGGUGCGCCCGUAUGAAAAAUUGUGGUGCGUAACAUUUUUUUUUUUACCUGCUUCGUUCGUUCGUCACACGAACGUCUGUUUUGUUGCAUCAAAAUGGUGGUGUAAAAAGGCGAGAACGCAGCUUCCAAACAAAGUGCACACAAACAGGGGCAAAAUAAAAAAUAUGGUAAAUAAGGUGUGCGUAAAGCCCAUUAACAACUCACCAAAAAAAAAAACGGUGCCAUCCGCUUUGAGCGGCAAAUGGGACACUAGGGAUGGAUCGGAAAAAGCAACAAAAAAAAAAAAACAUCAACAAAUGACGCGACCGUCUGUUGGGAAAAACUUUGCAAGCGUGCACUCUACAUGGGAAAAGGGUUAGAAAAAAGUAUCGAACAGUGGUGGAAAACCCGUCCAAAAAGCCAGCCAAAUCAUCAUGAAUACGUUUCACGUUUUCUACUCGUUAGCUUUGUGGUGUACUUAUUCCUUUUUUUUUCUUCCUUAGCUGAGUACUGCUGAGAACGCAUUUUACUUCUCGUGGGACUAAAGCCUAACACCGGUCGGUGGUACAGACAGCGUCAAGUUAACACGCUUCCAUUUUACCCGGAUUGUAUGAUCGAAUUGGGUUUGAGGGGUUGGUGGGGAGGGAUGGAAAAAAUGGUACAGAAUGAAGCAUAAGCUUCAUAUGGAAUGCAAAUACCCGUUCGCGAAGGUAGCUAAUCCCUCCAGGCAAUAGCUUCGAAACGCACUUUGGAAUCAUCAGUUUUUUUUUCUUCUCUCCAUCCUCACUUU